CAUCCUUCUCAUUUCUUUGGCUUCAGGCGAAGCUUCUGAAGGGUUCCAUUUGGUUUGGGAGCAGCACCUUGCCUAGGUAUUCAACCACAUACCACGUGUGCUCUGGGGAAAGUAUGUCCCUUAGUUCUCCCGACAGUAGAGACUCUCUUCGGUUCUAGUUCCCCUCGCUUCAAAGAGCCAAAGGUUAUGACUUGCCCGAGAGUCCUAAGGAUAUGUACUCGUUGGCACUUAGAUACUGGGUGACAAAUCUUACCAGCGGCCCUGUCUCGGCCACGUAUGUUCCCUGUCAGGAACUCAACCGCAUUGUGCUAGCUGACAAGCAAAACAUGUAGUCUCUGUGGACUAAAAGUACUCCGAGGUGCGACAUCAGCUCAGAGCACACACAUGUCCCCCAACCCAGCAGCAGCGAUCCCAGAACUCAGCAAAAGCGACCUUGGGAAAUGUUGUUGUCUUUUCUACACGUGAAGCCCGGGGGUUGAGUGUGGACGCUCGUCGGGGACCCUGCACCGCGCGGCCUUCCCGCUGGACUCCAGGCCCGGUCUCUCGGCCCUCCACCGGCCUCGGCCGGCGGGGCUCACCCGAGACGCCCGGCACAGGGGCACCCCGAACUCCCCGGGGCAGCGCUCAACCGGCCGCCCCGGCUCGCUUCCCGCCCCGCCGUCCAGGCCGCACGGCUCCCGGUUACCUGCGGGCGGCGGGAGGAGGCUGGCGGCUCCGCUCCCUCUUGGCCCGCGGCUGGCUCCGACGCUCAGACCACGGCUCCUCCACCCACAGUCACCCCCGAGGACCCGGCUCCGGCGGCUCUCCGAGGGCCCGGAAGCGGCUCAACAGCCGGGCCUUCAGUUCCUCCGACGCCACCACCGAGGCGCGAACCCGGAACCGAGCUAGAGCGGCCGCACAGGUGCUGCGAGGGCGCGGGCCCGGUCUAGCAGUUUCGCAACAGACUCACGGGAAAUGUUAUUCACCUCGAGAUGUGGCUGGACGAGUGAACAGUGGAGCAUCAACCGUAUUUAACAAAAGACAUGAGGGUUAG
rnacentral:lncRNA from 1 species